rnacentral:rRNA from 1 species
UACAGAGGGUGCGAGCGUUAAUCGGAUUUACUGGGCGUGAAGGGUGCGUAGGUGGUCACGAAAGUCGGAUGUGAAAGCCCUGGGCUCAACCUGGGAAUGCCAUUCGAUACUCCGCGACUAGAAUUCGGUAGAGGGAGGCGGAACUCCAGGUGUAGCGGUGAAAUGCGUAGAUAUCUGGAAGAACACCGAUGGCGAAGGCACUUUACUGGGCUAUUACUGACACUCAGAGACGAAAGCUAGGGUAGCAAAUGGG